CGGCAGCGGGGGAGUGCUUGCACUUCUGCCGGCGAGUGGCGAACGGGUGAGUAACAUAUCGGAACGUGCCGAGUAGUGGGGGAUAACCAAUCGAAAGAUUGGCUAAUACCGCAUACGCUCUGAGGAGGAAAGCAGGGGACCGAAAGGCCUUGCGCUAUUUGAGCGGCCGAUAUCUGAUUAGCUAGUUGGUGGGGUAAAGGCCUACCAAGGCGACGAUCAGUAGCGGGUCUGAGAGGACGAUCCGCCACACUGGGACUGAGACACGGCCCAGACUCCUACGGGAGGCAGCAGUGGGGAAUUUUGGACAAUGGGGGCAACCCUGAUCCAGCCAUGCCGCGUGUAUGAAGAAGGCCUUCGGGUUGUAAAGUACUUUUGUUCGGGAAGAAAAGGGGACGGAUAAUACCCGUUUCUGCUGACGGUACCGAAAGAAUAAGCACCGGCUAACUACGUGCCAGCAGCCGCGGUAAUACGUAGGGUGCGAGCGUUAAUCGGAAUUACUGGGCGUAAAGCGAGCGCAGACGGUUAUUUAAGCAGGAUGUGAAAUCCCCGGGCUUAACCUGGGAACUGCGUUCUGAACUGGAUGGCUAGAGUGUGUCAGAGGGGGGUAGAAUUCCACGUGUAGCAGUGAAAUGCGUAGAGAUGUGGAGGAAUACCGAUGGCGAAGGCAGCCCCCUGGGAUAACACUGACGUUCAUGCUCGAAAGCGUGGGUAGCAAACAGGAUUAGAUACCCUGGUAGUCCACGCCCUAAACGAUGUCGAUUAGCUGUUGGGCAGCUUGACUGCUUAGUAGCGUAGCUAACGCGUGAAAUCGACCGCCUGGGGAGUACGGUCGCAAGAUUAAAACUCAAAGGAAUUGACGGGGACCCGCACAAGCGGUGGAUGAUGUGGAUUAAUUCGAUGCAACGCGAAGAACCUUACCUGGUCUUGACAUGUACGG
rnacentral:rRNA from 1 species